AUUUCUCAACCCCUUUCAAUUAACUUUGAAUGGGAGCUUGGAUAGUGGGGGUUUGCAGGAAACUUGGAUAUUUUCUUUAACUAGAAAAAGUCUAGGAUUCGGGCUCUCCUGAAAUACAUUGGCUUGCGGGUCUACUUUCGACUUUGUGCGAUAAGGCUUUCGGUGUGAUAAUGAUCACCGUGUGCUGAAGUGCAUAACUGUAAAGUUCCGUGCCUCUAAUAUUGUCGAUCCCUAUAGUAUAUACUAUAUAGGAUCUUCCUUAUAAUGACA
rnacentral:misc_RNA from 1 species